GAAUCUUGCGCAAUGGGCGAAAGCCUGACGCAGCCAUGCCGCGUGAAUGAUGAAGGUCUUAGGAUUGUAAAAUUCUUUCACCGGGGACGAUAAUGACGGUACCCGGAGAAGAAGCCCCGGCUAACUUCGUGCCAGCAGCCGCGGUAAUACGAAGGGGGCUAGCGUUGCUCGGAAUUACUGGGCGUAAAGGGCGCGUAGGCGGAUCGUUAAGUCAGAGGUGAAAUCCCAGGGCUCAACCCUGGAACUGCCUUUGAUACUGGCGAUCUUGAGUAUGAGAGAGGUAUGUGGAACUCCGAGUGUAGAGGUGAAAUUCGUAGAUAUUCGGAAGAACACCAGUGGCGAAGGCGACAUACUGGCUCAUUACUGACGCUGAGGCGCGAAAGCGUGGGGAGCAAAC
rnacentral:rRNA from 1 species